UGGGGAAUAUUGCACAAUGGGCGCAAGCCUGAUGCAGCCAUGCCGCGUGUGUGAAGAAGGCCUUCGGGUUGUAAAGCACUUUCAGCGGGGAGGAAGGCGAUAAGGUUAAUAACCUUGUCGAUUGACGUUACCGGCAGAAGAAGCACCGGCUAACUCCGUGCCAGCAGCCGCGGUAAUACGGAGGGUGCAAGCGUUAAUCGGAAUUACUGGGCGUAAAGCGCACGCAGGCGGUCUGUCAAGUCGGAUGUGAAAUCCCCGGGCUCAACCUGGGAACUGCAUUCGAAACUGGCAGGCUAGAGUCUUGUAGAGGGGGGUAGAAUUCCAGGUGUAGCGGUGAAAUGCGUAGAGAUCUGGAGGAAUACCGGUGGCGAAGGCGGCCCCCUGGACAAAGACUGACGCUCAGGUGCGAAAGCGUGGGGAGCAAACAGG
rnacentral:rRNA from 1 species